rnacentral:lncRNA from 10 species
CGGGCACCCGGCGGCAUCCGCGCCAGCGGCCACCUCCCCGGCCCGCAACCGGCCUCAGGGGCCGAGAUUGCGGCCCGAGGUCCGGAAGCGGCGUCCAGCGCUGUCAGCGGGCGGGUGUCUUCUGUGAAUGAGAAUACCACCUCUGGCUUCUCUGCAUCUCCCAACAGUGCUGGGUACACAGCAAACUUCUCUUGUCUAACGGCAGUGUGGUGUUUCUGGUUUAUUUGGCUUCAGUGCCAAACAUCGUUGUUCACAUCUUCAGUGCAACAACAGUGAAAAAUUAGGUUGCUGCUGCUCACUCUUUGGGUCCACACUGCCUUUAUGAGCUGUAACACUCACUGUGAAGAUCUGAAGCUUCACUCCUGAAGCCAGCGAGACCACAAACCCACCAGGAGCAACAAACAACUCCAGAUGCGCCGCCUUAACAGCUGUAACACUCACCGCGAAGGUCUGCAGAUUCACUCCUGAGCCAGCGAGACCACAAACCCACCAGAAGGAAGACACUCCGAACACAUCCGAACAUCAGAAGGAACAAACUCCAGACACGCUACCUUUAAGAACUGUAACACUCACCGUGAGGGUCUGCGGCUUCAUUCUUGAAGUCAGUGAGACCAAGAACCCACAAAUUCCGGACACAAAAGCACUUUUGGAAUAACGGAGUUAGCAUUUCCAAAAAUCUCCUGUUCCCUAAAAGCGAUGAGAACACAGGUCAAAAAUGUCAAAAUUAACUUUCUCAGAACUCUGGAAAUUAAUCAAAGGCUUGUGAUGAUCCAAGGAGUGUUUAUUCAAGAAAACCAGUUGAAUGUUGCUCCCCUGUCCCCACACAAGAUGGACAUGGACACAGAAGAACUAGACUUGGCCAGGAAGUAUAAUCAGCACCCAAGAUCCAAAGAGCUUAAGUGUUACAAAAUGAUACUCACCAGAGGGACCCAGACAAGAGUUCCUGUUUUAGUUGGCUUCUCUUCAUUGGAAGAAACAGAUUCACUCAAGUGACUUCAAGAAGAAUAGAGUUUAUUAUGAGGAUGCAGGUAAAAGAGCAUUUGUGGGGCCGGGCUCGGUGUCUCACACCUGUAAUCCCAGCACUUUGGGAGGCCAAGGCAGGUGGAUCACAAGGUCAGGAGUUCAAGACCAGCCUGGCCAAUAAGGUCUGAGCUCCCCUCGGAGCUACCUAGGCAUGCGACAGACCCCAAACAACACUGCAGCCUUUGAAAACUGAAAGGAGACAGGAAUCACUAUCCACAGAAAGCCAGACAGAACUUCCAGAAUGUCAGGCCUCUGAGCCCAAGCCAAGCCAAGCCAUCGCAUCCCCUGUGACUUGCAUGUACACAUCCAGAUGGCCUGAAGUAACUGAAGACACAAAAGAAGUAAAAAUAGCCUUAACUGAUGACAUUCCACCAUUGUGAUUUGUUUCUGCCCCACCCUAACUGAUCAAUGUACUUUGUAAUCUCCCCCACCCUUAAGAAGGUACUUGGUAAUCAAUCUCCCCCACCCUUAAGAAGGUUCUUUGUAAUUCUCCCCACCCUUGAGAAUGUAUUUUGUGAGAUCCACCCCUGCCUGCAAAACAUUGGUCUUAACUUCACCGCCUAUCCCAAAACCUGUAAGAACUAAUGAUAAUCCACCACCCUUUGCUGACUCUCUUUUCGGACUCAGCCCACCUGCACCCAGGUGAUUAAAAGCUUUUAUUGCUCACACAAAGCCUGUUUGGUGGUCCCUUCACAUGGAUGCGCAUGAAACAGAGAACAUGCAAGAAUGGCAACCAUGCUGUCAAGGGUUCCAACACCUCUCUGGC